rnacentral:lncRNA from 1 species
GGCCCGCAGAAGUUCUGCAUCGACAGAGUUGGCAAGGAAACCUGGCUGCCCAGGAGCCAUACGUGCUUCAACCGUCUGGACCUGCCUCCCUAUAAGAGCUACGAGCAGCUGAAAGAGAAGCUGCUGUACGCCAUCGAGGAGACUGAGGGGUUCGGACAGGAGUAGCUGAGGCUGCUGUCUCACACCCUCUAGCACAUGUAGUCCUGAGUCCUUCCUGCCGGAGAUGCCACCGGUUGCACAGCCCUCAAGAGGCCCCUUUGGAUAGUGGCCCUGCACGAGACUGUGCCUUGAUCAUUUCGGUGACUGAAGAGUCUGACCCCAGAGGCCUUGGGGACCCUUUCUUCUCUCUGAUGAUGGCAGUCUGGAAUAAAGCACUGUCACCUUUGACUCUAUUACCUGUUGCAAAGCCAGAGGGCUGCCCUUCUCUGCAAAACUGCCCCUUCCACUAGGACUGAGUCUGGGUGUGUGUGAGAGUGUGAGGGAACAUGCCCUGCCUUAGAGGGCUGCCACUGAAGCUGGGCCUCAUAUGUUCCAUGAGGAGCUAGGCCUCGUGGAAUGGCUGGCUGACUAAACCCAGAAAGCCAAGGCUCUGCCAGUGGAAGAGACUUCACUUUUGUAGACCUUCCCUGAAGUCCAUGGAACAGACCUAAGGGAACAACUGAGCAUCAAAACCGGCUUUGCUUUACUUCCUGGCAGGCUGCAGCCAAGGGGACUGAGCAGCAGGCACCCAAUGCCACCAGCUCGUCUCUUCCUAGCAAGCAAAGGGUUAAAGAAGCCACCACCUGGGUGUCAGUGGGAAGGAGACAGCAGAGCUCAGGCUUUGCCCUUUGACAGAAACCUAAAGACACAUCCACAUCCAUGCAUAGGGCUGUUGCUUGUUGUGUUGUAGGCAUGCUCUUCUCACCUUCUGUCAAGGACCUGGUGCCCUGGGUGGUGGAGGGCUCAGCCCUCUUGAUUCAGUAGCUUCCCAAGCAGCUGCUCCUCUCAGGAGCCUGCUUAACACUUGCGCCAGCUCAGAGGCCUGCCUCUAUGGUCCAGUGCAUCCCCGCUGUGCUCAGAUGCUGACGAGACUCCUUUGCUAGACUCCCCUAGUUAGGGCCUCUGCAGCUUAUGGUGGCUUAAAAUGGAGAGAGCAUCUUGCCUGGCCGAGUGUUUGUGCUAUGUGAGCAUGAGGCUUUAUUUGACUGUGGAAGAAGACACUAAGAGCCAGCAGAAGGGCCUGAGCUGCCUCAUUAGCCUGGCUUCAUUUGGGGAGCUCCUGACAGUGUCCCGAGUAGGUGCCCAGCCCCUCUUGGGUACCAGAGUGGUUAUAGCGACACACUCCUCAUCCAGGCUUCCCAAGAUACACUAGCUCUGGGACACCCCAGGCAUGCUCUCAAACUAGUCAUGGGGCCUUCUGAGGACAGUUCCAUCCUACCUUUGUCCUUCCCUGGUACAGCCUGUGACCCUGGCACACUGCACAUGCUGAUCUGAGUGGCUCUGCUCACUGUCGCACACCCCUUCCUCUCCCAUGCAGUCACCUCAGGACUCCCGACAUACAUCACAAAGGCUGCUUCAUGGCUGGGUGUGGGACCAGAUGCCAGCAAGGAUGGAAGCAUCAGGCUCACAGGUGUGUGUGUGUGUGUGCACGCGUUCGCACAUGCGUGAGUGUGUAGCAGAAGUGUGUACAGAGAGGCCCGUGCUAGCUAGCACCAAGUUGGUUGACAGAUUGUUUUGUGAUGCUUGCCCUGCCUCGGUAUUGCCAGUUUCUUGUGCAAUAAAGAAUCAGCAGCC